rfam:Schistosoma margrebowiei strain Zambia genome assembly, scaffold: SMRZ_scaffold0001368
AUCCAACUGAAGAGUCCCAAAUAGGGUGAAACUUGCGUCCUGUAU